rnacentral:rRNA from 1 species
GAGUUUGAUCCUGGCUCAGGAUGAACGCUGGCGGCGUGCCUAAUACAUGCAAGUCGAGCGAACGGACGAGAAGCUUGCUUCUCUGAUGUUAGCGGCGGACGGGUGAGUAACACGUGGAUAACCUACCUAUAAGACUGGGAUAACUUCGGGAAACCGGAGCUAAUACCGGAUAAUAUUUUGAACCGCAUGGUUCAAAAGUGAAAGACGGUCUUGCUGUCACUUAUAGAUGGAUCCGCGCUGCAUUAGCUAGUUGGUAAGGUAACGGCUUACCAAGGCAACGAUGCAUAGCCGACCUGAGAGGGUGAUCGGCCACACUGGAACUGAGACACGGUCCAGACUCCUACGGGAGGCAGCAGUAGGGAAUCUUCCGCAAUGGGCGAAAGCCUGACGGAGCAACGCCGCGUGAGUGAUGAAGGUCUUCGGAUCGUAAAACUCUGUUAUUAGGGAAGAACAUAUGUGUAAGUAACUGUGCACAUCUUGACGGUACCUAAUCAGAAAGCCACGGCUAACUACGUGCCAGCAGCCGCGGUAAUACGUAGGUGGCAAGCGUUAUCCGGAAUUAUUGGGCGUAAAGCGCGCGUAGGCGGUUUUUUAAGUCUGAUGUGAAAGCCCACGGCUCAACCGUGGAGGGUCAUUGGAAACUGGAAAACUUGAGUGCAGAAGAGGAAAGUGGAAUUCCAUGUGUAGCGGUGAAAUGCGCAGAGAUAUGGAGGAACACCAGUGGCGAAGGCGACUUUCUGGUCUGUAACUGACGCUGAUGUGCGAAAGCGUGGGGAUCAAACAGGAUUAGAUACCCUGGUAGUCCACGCCGUAAACGAUGAGUGCUAAGUGUUAGGGGGUUUCCGCCCCUUAGUGCUGCAGCUAACGCAUUAAGCACUCCGCCUGGGGAGUACGACCGCAAGGUUGAAACUCAAAGGAAUUGACGGGGACCCGCACAAGCGGUGGAGCAUGUGGUUUAAUUCGAAGCAACGCGAAGAACCUUACCAAAUCUUGACAUCCUUUGACAACUCUAGAGAUAGAGCCUUCCCCUUCGGGGGACAAAGUGACAGGUGGUGCAUGGUUGUCGUCAGCUCGUGUCGUGAGAUGUUGGGUUAAGUCCCGCAACGAGCGCAACCCUUAAGCUUAGUUGCCAUCAUUAAGUUGGGCACUCUAAGUUGACUGCCGGUGACAAACCGGAGGAAGGUGGGGAUGACGUCAAAUCAUCAUGCCCCUUAUGAUUUGGGCUACACACGUGCUACAAUGGACAAUACAAAGGGCAGCGAAACCGCGAGGUCAAGCAAAUCCCAUAAAGUUGUUCUCAGUUCGGAUUGUAGUCUGCAACUCGACUACAUGAAGCUGGAAUCGCUAGUAAUCGUAGAUCAGCAUGCUACGGUGAAUACGUUCCCGGGUCUUGUACACACCGCCCGUCACACCACGAGAGUUUGUAACACCCGAAGCCGGUGGAGUAACCUUUUAGGAGCUAGCC